AGUGAACGCUGGCGGCGUGCUUAACACAUGCAAGUCGAACGAGAACGGAUUAUAGCUUGCUAUAAUUGUCAGCUAAGUGGCGCACGGGUGAGUAAUGUAUAGGUAAUAUGCCUCUUACUAAGGGAUAACAAAUGGAAACGUUUGCUAAUACCUUAUACUCCUUAUUAACAGAAGUUAAUAAGGGAAAGAUUUAUUGGUAAGAGAUUAGCCUGUAUUGUAUCAGUUAGUUGGUGGGGUAAUGGCUUACCAAGACUAUGACACAUAACUGGUUUUAUAGGAUGAUCAGUCACACUGGAACUGAGACACGGUCCAGACUCCUACGGGAGGCAGCAGUGGGGAAUAUUGCACAAUGGACGAAAGUCUGAUGCAGCAACGCCGCGUGGAGGAUGACACAUUUCGGUGCGUAAACUCCUUUUAUAUGAGAAGAUAAUGACGGUAUUAUAUGAUUAAGCACCGGCUAACUCCGUGCCAGCAGCCGCCGCAG
rnacentral:rRNA from 1 species